rnacentral:rRNA from 1 species
GGGUCAGUAGGUUGGUCGUGCCACCGGUACGUACUGGUCUCACUGAUUCCUCCUUCCUGAAGAACCGUAAUGCCAUUAAUUUGGUGUUGUGGGGAAACAGGACUGUUACUUUGAAAAAAUUAGAGCGUUUAAAGCAAGCUAACGCUUGAAUACAUUAGCAUGGAAUAAUGAAAUAGGACGAUCGAUCCUAUUUUGUUGGUUUCUAGGAUUGACGUA